ACCCCGGUGUUUUUUAACACCACCCAUAUUCACAGGAAAAGCCCC
rfam:Chrysochromulina sp. CCMP291 CAF.Contig9231, whole genome shotgun sequence.